rnacentral:rRNA from 1 species
UACAGAGGUCCCAAGCGUUGUUCGGAUUUACCGGGCGUAAAGGGUGCGUAGGCGGUGGGGUAAGUUUGAGGUGAAAGCUCCGGGCUCAACCCCGAAGUGGCCAUGAAUACUAUCCCGCUAGAGGGUUGGAGGGGAGACUGGAAUUCUCGGUGUAGCAGUGAAAUGCGUAGAUCUCGAGAGGAACUCCAGUGGCGAAGGCGGGUCUCUGGACAACAACUGACGCUGAGGCACGAAUGCCAGGGGAGCAAACGGG